UAAGAAGGUGUACAUUUAUGAAAAGUUAUGUUCGAGCUGGGUAUGAGUCAGUUCAGCCUUCGCUUACAAGGAACACUGAAGCUCAGUAGCAAAGAACAAAUAAGUGACACAGUUUCAAACAAAAAACGCUCAAUCUAAUAUUAUUUGCUUGUUUAAAAUUGAAUUAUUUGUAAUAUUUUCCACAUCAUCGUAAGAUUCAAUAAUAUUGCAGCCACAAAAAUGAUGAGGUGGUGGCACAUCCUGUUGCUUUCUGAAUUUUACCGAUUUCAAGCGCGAUCCAUUAUCGAUGAGAAAUGUAUUGCAACAUCACCUGCAAUCACUUCGGAGCAUUGUAUUCUAAAAUGUGUGCAACAAUUGUAUGACAAUAAAAUCUGUACAAUCUGUGAUAAAGACAAGGAUUCUUCAGCGAAUUUUAGAAAAACUGGGGAAACACUUGUUGACAUACCCAGUGUGAAAUGGUGUACGGCGUGCAAAAAUGACCAAUGGGAAAUCAAUUCUACACAAUACGAAUUUUACAGACAUAUUUCCGAUUUUUUCAACGAUUUAGAAAUCAGCUGGUGUAUUAACGCUCUAAAUUUGAAUGAACACAAUGAUUUCAAGAAAGAGCUUCACCGAUCGAAGCGGUAUAACCCUGGUAUUGGAGGUUCCCAUUCUAGCCCGAAUAGCCCAUUAAGUUCAAUACCUUCCAGUGAAGCGGCUAUGGUGAUGGGAAUGAUCAUCAUUGCAAUUUUCCUGCUAUGUGCAAUAGGGUUUCUUUGUAAAAAGUUUGCAACAAAUCUAAAUCCACAGGAGAGUUAUCAAAUUAAUUCCUAACGUUUUAUUGACUUUCUGUAAUUUUUUUAAAUAAAUAAUCAUCAA